GUAUAGAUGCAGUGACUGAGACUGGGAGAUGCAGUGACUGAAACCUGGUGUGUUCCAGAAAAAGGUCCUGAAACUACUGGUCGACAUCCGCCAUCGCCUGAAGGAAACCAGAAGGGGUCAUGAAAUUCGGUUCCACAGCCACUGAGGUGUAUGUACAUCAAGGUGAACCU